rnacentral:rRNA from 1 species
UACGGAAGGCAGCAGUGGGGAAUAUUGCACAAUGGGCGCAAGCCUGAUGCAGCCAUGCCGCGUGUAUGAAGAAGGCCUUCGGGUUGUAAAGUACUUUCAGUCGUGAGGAAGGUGUUAAGGUUAAUAACCUUAGCAAUUGACGUUAGCGACAGAAGAAGCACCGGCUAACUCCGUGCCAGCAGCCGCGGUAAUACGGAGGGUGCGAGCGUUAAUCGGAAUUACUGGGCGUAAAGGGCACGCAGGCGGUUAAUUAAGUUGGAUGUGAAAUCCCCGGGCUUAACCUGGGAAUGGCAUUCAAGACUGGUUAGCUAGAGUCUUGUAGAGGGGGUAGAAUUCCGAUGUGUAGCGGUGAAAUGCGUAGAGAUGUGGAGGAAUACCGGUGGCGAAGGCGGCCCCUGGACAAAGGCUGACGCUCAUGUGCGAAAGCGUGGGGAGCAAACGAGGAUUAGAUACC